rnacentral:rRNA from 1 species
UACGAAGGGUGCAAGCGUUACUCGGAAUUACUGGGCGUAAAGAGUGCGUAGGUGGUUCGUUAAGUCUGAUGUGAAAGCCCUGGGCUCAACCUGGGAAUGGCAUUGGAUACUGGCGACCUAGAGUGCGGUAGAGGGGUGUGGAAUUCCCGGUGUAGCAGUGAAAUGCGUAGAUAUCGGGAGGAACAUCUGUGGCGAAGGCGACACCCUGGACCAGCACUGACACUGAGGCACGAAAGCGUGGGGAGCAAACAGG